GGUUCUAUUUUCUACGCGCUACGCCUCUGAAACGGGUCGAGUUCGACAUUUUUGAGUAAGGUCUAGCUGCAGAAGUAGCCCCGGCCAAACACGCCCCUAUGUACAAAACAUGCGUGCAUGUACGAAGACGAGAACUCGCAUGCGUGUUGCAACAGAUGGAAAUGACGGUUCUGGUAAAGACAGAUUUAUGUUUUUACAACUUGCGAAGAUUUUGUACUAGAAAUUUGAACGUUUAAGACAUAGUUUGAUAGAUAGCGCAUUCGUAAUUUUUUUCUGAAACACUUUUAUAUAAAAUUAAAUAUUAUUGGCAGUGGGGGAAGACAUCAUGGACACAAAUUUUUUAUAUAAUUUUUAAUGGGCUACAUGCAAGCCUUUUGGCCAAAAUAAACCUAACAAUAGGCUGUUUAUUUGACCGUUUAUGACUCCUCAUCUAAUAAGCAGCAAACUCACGACGGCAUUGUGGCAGCCCGGAGUGAGAGGCAGCUGAUGUCCUAUGCCAUGGAACUGCUCAUAUACUCGGAGAAAUUCAGAAAAGCUCUGGACUCAUCUCAUUGUGUGGACAUUUUUAUUUUUUAUUUUUCGAAGGUUUUUGUAAGGCCAAUAAAAGUUGUUGCUGGGCGUUUC